AAAAAGACAAAUCCUGAUUUCCGUGUCCAACGAUUAACCGUCCGUCUUAUUUAAAAAAAUAUGAAAAAAAAUUAAAAAGACAAGUCACGUAUAAAAUAUUAAUCAUGUUUUAUCAUCUAACAACAAUGAAAAUACGAAUUAUAAAAAAAUUUCAUAUAAGACGGACAGUUAAAGUUGGACACGGAAAACCAGACUUUGUCUUUUU
rfam:Oryza nivara chromosome 5, whole genome shotgun sequence.